rnacentral:rRNA from 1 species
UUAGCCGAAGUGAAAGCGAGCCUUAACAGGGCGUCGAGUUGGUGGCGCUAGACGCGAAACCUUGUGAUCUACCCACGAGCAGGUUGAAGUCGCGGUAACACGUGAUGGAGGACCGAACCGGUAAACGUUGAAAAGUUUUCGGAUGACUCGCGGGUAGGGGUGAAAGGCCAAUCAAACUGGGAAAUAGCUCGUACUCUCCGAAAUGCAUUUCGGUGCAGCCUGUGAUGUUCUGUUCCAGAGGUAGAGCUACUGGUUGGACGCGAGGGCUUCACCGCCUAUCAAAUCCGGAUAAACUCCGAAUGCUGGAACACGAAAUCAUGGAGUGAGCCCGCGGGUGCUAAGGUCCGCGGACGAGAGGGAAAGAACCCGGACCACCGGCUAAGGUCCCGGAUGGACAGUUAAGUUGAUCAAACGAGGUGGGAUCGCUGAGACAGCUAGGAUGUUGGCUUGGAAGCAGCCAUUCAUUUAAAGAGUGCGUAACAGCUCACUAGUCGAGCGAUCCCGCGUGGAUAAUACACGGGCAUGAAACUGUCAACCGAAGCCGUGGGGUUAGUUAAUGACUAACCGGUAGGAGAGCAUUCCUGCCAGCUUUGAAGGUCACCCGCGAGAGUGACUGGAGCGGCAUGAAAAGCAAAUGUAGGCAUAAGUAACGAUAAUGGGGGCGAGAACCCCCCACGCCGCAAGACCAAGGAUUCCCCGGCAAUGUCAAUCAGCCGGGGGUCAGCCGGCCUCUAAGGCUCACCCGAAAGGGGAUGCCGACGAGAAACGGGUUAACAUUCCCGUGCUUCUCGUCACCGUGACGCGGUGACGGGGUGAUGAAUGGACCGCGCGCUGACGGAAUAGCGCGUUGAAGGCCGUACCCUGUGACGGUGGUAGUCAAGCACGCCACCCGAGGCGAAAGUCGAUAGUACCUCGAGGCCUCGGCCGAGGGGAUAGCGUCCAGGCAAUUUACCCCCUAGAAAACCCGCUAAACUUCAAGUGACGAGGUAACCGUACCGCAAACGGACACACGUGGUCGGGUAGAACAUACUAAGGCGCUCGAGUGAUUCAUGGUCAAGGAACUAGGCAAAAUAGUCCUGUAACUUAGGGAAAAAGGACGCUCUAGUGAUAGAGCCGCAGAGUAAUGGCCCAGGCGACUGUUUACCAAAAACACAUGGCUAUGCCAAAUCGAAAGAUGACGUAUAUGGCCUGACACCUGCCCGGUGCCGGAAGGUUAAGAGGAGAGCUCAUCAGUAAUGAGAAGGUUUGAAUUGAAGCCCCGGUAAACGGCGGCCGUAACUAUAACGGUCCUAAGGUAGCGAAAUUCCUUGUCGGGUAAGUUCCGACCUGCACGAAUGGUGUAACGAUCUGGGCACUGUCUCGACCAUGAGCUCGGUGAAAUUGUAGUUCCGGUGAAGAUGCCGGGUACCCGCGACGGGACGGAAAGACCCCGUGAACCUUUACUGCAGCUUCGCGUUGUUCCCGGGCACGGGACGUGUAGGAUAGGUCGGAGGCAUUGAAGCGGAUUCGCCAGGAUUCGUGGAGCCAUCGUUGAAAUACGACCCUUCUCUUGUCUGGGAUCUAACCCAUGGUAAUGGGGACACCGCUUGGUGGGUAGUUUGACUGGGGUGGUCGCCUCCAAAAGCGUAACGGAGGCUUCCAAAGGUACCCUCGGGUUGGUUGGUAAUCAACCUAAGAGUGCAAUGGCACAAGGGUGCUUGACCGGGAGACCAACGAGUCGAUCGGGUGCGAAAGCAGGGCAUAGUGAUCCGGUGAUCCCGCGUGGAAGGGUCAUCGCUCAAAGGAUAAAAGGUACUCCGGGGAUAACAGGCUGA